UACGAAGGGGGCUAGCGUUGUUCGGAAUUACUGGGCGUAAAGCGUGCGCAGGCGGCUUCUCAAGUCAGGGGUGAAAGCCCAGAGCUCAACUCUGGAAUUGCCUUUGAGACUGAGUGGCUUGAGUACGAGAGAGGUGAGUGGAAUUCCCAGUGUAGAGGUGAAAUUCGUAGAUAUUGGGAAGAAACACCGGUGGCGAAGGCGGCUCACUGGCUCGUAACUGACGCUCAUGCACGACAGCGUGGGGGAUCAAAAC
rnacentral:rRNA from 1 species